rnacentral:rRNA from 1 species
GAAAUGCGGAAGGAUCAUUAAAGAUUAUGAAUGAAUAGAUUACUGGGGGAAUCGUCUGAACAAGGCCUGCGCUUAAUUGCGCGGCCAGUUCUUGAUUCUCUGCUAUCAGUUUUCUAUUUCUCAUCCUAAACACAAUGGAGUUUUUUCUCUAUGAACUACUUCCCUGGAGAGCUCGUCUCUCCAGUGGACAUAAACACAAACAAUAUUUUGUAUUAUGAAAAACUAUUAUACUAUAAAAUUUAAUAUUCAAAACUUUCAACAACGGAUCUCUUGGUUCUCGCAUCGAUGAAGAACGCAGCGAAUUGCGAUAUGUAUUGUGAAUUGCAGAUUUUCGUGAAUCAUCAAAUCUUUGAACGCACAUUGCGCCCUCUGGUAUUCCAGGGGGCAUGCCUGUUUGAGCGUCAUUUCUCUCUCAAACCUUUGGGUUUGGUAGUGAGUGAUACUCGUCUCGGGUUAACUUGAAAGUGGCUAGCCGUUGCCAUCUGCGUGAGCAGGGCUGCGUGUCAAGUCUAUGGACUCGACUCUUGCACAUCUACGUCUUAGGUUUGCGCCAAUUCGUGGUAAGCUUGGGUCAUAGAGACUCAUAGGUGUUAUAAAGACUCGCUGGUGUUUGUCUCCUUGAGGCAUACGGCUUUAACCAAAACUCUCAAAGUUUGACCUCAAAUCAGGUAGAGACCCCG